GAAAUGUUAUAUAUUUUUCAAAAUUAUUUUAUUAUUUUUGCAGGCUGUUCAGUGACGUCCAGCUCCAACACUCAGAGAAACUCCAGAUCAAGGUUCCCAGCAGACUAAAAGAGGCGCUGAGGACGGCGAAGGAGAGUCUGGAGAAGAGGCUGCAGGAGGAGCAGAGAGUGCUCCACCAGCACAGGAGGCUGACCAGAGCUCAGUCUCACCACGGCUCUGAGGAGGAGAGGAAGAGGAGGAAGAUUCUAGCGAGGAAG